AGAAAAUAAAAUUGAAGCUGCUAACUUUGAUUGGGGGAGAGAUCUCCAUUUUCUU
rnacentral:tRNA from 1 species